AAAACGUUAGUCAUUUGUUAAACUUGCGUAUUUUGGCAGUGGAGUUCAGUCAAUUAUUCGUGAAAAAAUUAAUAAGGAUUUAUUUAUUUAACAUGUGGCAAUCGGGAGCGUUGGCUUUUGUUUUUCUGAUCCUCUUAUUUGUUUAUGUGAUGAAUGCGGUGAGCCUAGAGGUGGUUGAAGCUGAUGGAUAUGAUGAAACCGACUUCGAAACUUUAUAAAUGAAAAGACCUACUUUGUGAAAAUUACCUUCCACUGAACUAAUUAAGUUAUUGUAGUAAUAAUGUUUAAUAAAAUAAUAAUAUUAAAAUUUUGAAAUGUU